AGGCAGUAGUAGAGUUUUAUAGCAGUGUGUUUGUUAUAUCAUCAAAUAUCAUGUGCAAAAAACUCGUCUUUUUUUAGUAUAUUGACCAUCAGACUUGUUUACUUUGUGUCUUUUAUUCCUCUCACCAGAUAAAUAUUAAUGGUAUAAAAUAAGCUGCAGGCUUCAAAAUACUGGUUGUGUAGCGUAGUGCUAGUUUUUAGCAGUGUAUAAAUUACUGUAUAAUUACUACUGCUAUUAGUAUGUUCAUGCCCUGACUUAAUUUGGAUGGACAAGAAAAGGUGUUAAAAGUUGAGAAAACAAAUAAAUUAUUUGCCAGUAAAUAAGUUCUAUAGGCGGAUCUGGUCAGAUUGAAAUUCCGUGAGAUACUGUGCGAUGAUGUUGGUACUGAAGAAGAGGUGGUGAAAGUCAUUGGUGAAAGUUGAUCAAGGAGAGAUUUUGAAGACUGUGGGGAAAAUAAAUGCUUGGAUUAUUCAUCAACAAUUAUUAAAUUCAAUACUUGAGGAACAUUUGGGACGCUGUAAAGCAACCAGAGCUGCUGGACGCAAACUUAGCAGUAGAACCACGAUGGAUGACACAACCGGAGUUUACAAUUCGACUACGAUAAGUUAUGAGAACCCGGGUGGGGUGUCAAUGGGCGGGGGAGGAGGUGGUCAAAGAAGAGCUUGGAAUUUGUCUGAAAUAGUGAACCCCCCGGUGGCAAGGUCGCGAUGGUUUCAUUGGAUUCUUCUCAUGGGAGGCUCUAUCGUAUUGGGGCUGGGACUAAUUGUUGUCGUUAUCGGGAUCUACAAUCAACAUUACUAUGACCCUGAAUCUCAUAAUGUGAAGAUGGGAGAUGACGAGUCCCCUCCAUCUCAUUGGAUCAUAACCCUUGUUGGGUUUGCACUAGCUAUCUUUGGUAUUAUUUUAUUAGUCCUUUACUGCAGAAUGAUUAACACAGACAGGCUGCUUUGUAACCCACUGUCUCGAACGAGAAGUGCACUUCGUAAAGUUGUUACGAAACCGAGAUACAAUCCUGGACGCCAGAACUCACGAGGAGCGAAUUUGCUUUCAAACGAAGGUAACACAAUCAACCCGAUGCUUACCCAGUAUAAUCCUGUCCCCGACAUUGGAUUUCGUCAUGCCAAUGGAGAAGUCACAUCUGAAGAGAAAGCAAAUCUUAUGGCCAAUGAGAUGAAAGAAGGAAUUGAUGACAUUCCUACUUCUUCAUGUGAAGCACUGCUUCGUCACUGUGAAUCCAAUGGGACAACAAAUUCAUCGAAAGAUCCUCGGAUUGUGCUCCAUCCUUUCGCCAAAUCAUAAACCUAACACCUUCUUUCGAUAUUAUUACUAUUUCUGAUCUUGCUGUGCUAGUAUUUCUUGUAUUUAUUUUACUUUCAUGUAUCUCAAUCGCAUCACUCGCAACAAGAGUUGUAUGUGUUCUAUUUAAUCUCUCUGUCGUUAUUAAAGUUAAUUAAUAUUGUGGGUGUGCGCUUGCAGCUAGUUUUACGAUUAAGAAAUCUCCGUGCCCUGCGAGCCAGCUUGUCCCCACAAAAAUCCCUUGAAAAUGAUGAGCCAGUAGUAGUACGCCAUGUCUCAAAGUCAAAAAGUCCUCCACCACCACGACUUUCACCAAUACGUCAUUCUCCGCCACCACCCACACACCCACCUCUACGCCCCCCACGACAUAAAUUUUCUUCCCUUCGUCGCGACCUUGAUCCAUACCCAACAGCGUUUGCUGGUCAUUAUAAACCACGACAUUUUGCUGGACAUGGAUAUGGAACAAAAUUCCCUUCUGCACUUUCUUCCACGUCCAACAUGCAAAAUAAAGCUCCGUUGGCAUCUCUUGAUGAUAUUACCCCCUCACUCCGGUCUUCUUUUGCAAGUGUGAUGAUGUACCCUCCGUCCGAUUGGGGGAAUGAUAGUGAUGAAUCCUUCGAUUCUACCAUAAUGGUCAACUUCUGUUCAAGUCCAACCGGUAUUAACAAUGAAGGCAAAGAAGGCGGAGAAGAUAAAAACAAAGAUGGCAACGAGGAAUUUGUCAUUCCUGACUCGCAGUUCGACACCAAGUUUGACGAUUUUAGAAUCUCUCCAACAAGAAAAGUUAGAAAAGGUUCGCUAUCUUCGGUGCAGUCUGCGUUUUCAUAACUUUCAUAACUUUCCACAGCUACCACCAAUUCACAAAACUUCAUACACAAUAUAUCCAUAUUUAUCCAUCCCAUUUUAACCAACAUGAUAUUUUUAAUUGUAUUUAAUUGUUCCUCUAUUCAUGAUCCAUGACAUUUUAUAAUACUGUUCGUGUUCCCCAAUCAUUGCAUGAAAUUUCUCAAGAGUGUUGUUCUUUUUAUUGUUUCAAUUACUCUAAUGCGUGUGUGUGUGGGGAUUUGUAGAGAUGUCAAAAAAAUUUCCAAGUGCUAGGUCAAGGACUGUUAUUGAUGCUGUUUUAUGCUACUAGUGAUUAGUAUUUGCUGGUUGUGGUCGGUUGGUGAAUCAUUUAUUCUAGUUGUUAUAUAUAUAUAUUGUUGUACAAUGAUGAUUAAUUAAUUAAGUCAAGUACAAAUGUUGUUAUCGAAGGUUAUCUACCUAGUCAUGUCUAUCACUGUGUAAGAUCUGUCCAAAAACUUUUAAACCAUGCUGGUGUUAAAUACUUGAGGUUGUUCAUUCAUGCAUUUCUUUGGUUGUGAAGCCAGAAACACGCAUAAACUAAAGUAGCAAUGUAUGUAGUAAAUGAACGAAUUUGCUCUUACUGUAAACGUUUAAAUAAUAUAAAUUAUUAUUAAAUUGUGACAAUAAAAUGAAAUCAGAUCAGUGUA